rnacentral:lncRNA from 1 species
GCUAAAUAUACUUCUCAAAAUAUUUUUUCUGCACACAAGAGUCCUUGCUGCUGUGCCUGCUGUAUAUCAUACUAUGGAGUUUGGCUCCAUCUCCCACAACACACACAAGUGACCAGCCUGCAACAUGAAGAAAAGCAUAGAUUGUUGGAAACGAAAUUCUCAUCAAGGAAAACCUGCAGCAACAGGAAGAAGAAUGCAAAAAUAAAACUUGCCACUCAGAAAAAUGUUUUUUCCACACACAGCUUAAAAAUGGCUCAGCAGUAUCUAAAGGUAAGCAGAAGCAAGCCUGACUACUGUGGAUUAAAAUGUGCCUUUCCUGCUAAGGCACAGCCACCCUGACCUGCAGCUAAAUUGCUACAGGGACACUUGCAUUUCCUAACUUGGUGCUGAGAACUCAGAGCAUCAGCUGAGCCCUGUCCUCAGCAAUUGCUUCCAGGCUGCUUCAGCCCCAGCCCUGCACAGCACCAGUGCUUCUGGAGCCCAGUGCCAAACUGAUGCCCAAGCAACAAACAUGUCCUUCCCUCCAAGGCAAUCAAAACUUCAUUCUCAGCAUUGAAAAGAUGACAAAACUACACCUUUGUAUCUUAUGAGACAGCAUAUGAAAUCAAAUUGUCUAGGUGAGAACAACUGAGACUUCCUUACCUGUGGGUGCUGGUCAGAAUUUCCCACUGGACUAUCUGGCUGGUCACAGGCACAACGUGUGCCAGGCUGGGCAUGAGCCAUGUGUUUGAGUGAUGUGACUUCAGGGCUGACAGUCCCACACCCAAAUUCUUCCUCUAUCCUAAGAUUUCCAGAUCGGUAAAUCGAUUUUCCAAAGUAUAAAAUAGCCAGCUACCUAGAGACUUCUCUUUAAGCAUCCAGAAUGUGCAACUGAAAUUAACUUUUGAGAGAAGAACAGACAACAAACCAAAUUAUCUGGAUAUUCCUGAAAUCUUUUGUUGUUGCUUUAGUUGAAAAAACACAGUUUCCCUGAUCUCAUCCUAACAAGCAAAAUUCCAUUGAAACUGGCUUUAAGUCCCAUGCUUUAUGAGGCUGGCUUCAGAGCAGGAUUUCAGGGCAUACAGCUCAAGUGUUCCUCUCCCAGGGAGCUCCAAAGCAGAAGGAAAUUCAGUCUCUGGGAAUUUCCAGAGGGUCACACAAACUAACAGACAUCCUACAUCUCUAAAUGACACCCCAUGUCUUUUAUAGGAGACCAUGGAAACGAGCUCCUUUUUUUUUUUUUUUUUUUUUCCUUUAACAAAUAUCACACAGUAGGUAAAACGCCAUG